AGUGAACGCUGGCGGUAGGCCUAACACAUGCAAGUCGAACGGCAGCACAGUAAGAGCUUGUUCUUACGGGUGGCGAGUGGCGGACGGGUGAGGAAUACAUCGGAAUCUACUUUUUCGUGGGGGAUAACGUAGGGAAACUUACGCUAAUACCGCAUACGACCUACGGGUGAAAGCAGGGGAUCUUCGGACCUUGCGCGAUUGAAUGAGCCGAUGUCGGAUUAGCUAGGUGGCGGGGUAAAGGCCCACCAAGGCGACGAUCCGUAGCUGGUCUGAGAGGAUGAUCAGCCACACUGGAACUGAGACACGGUCCAGACUCCUACGGGAGGCAGCAGUGGGGAAUAUUGGACAAUGGGCGCAAGCCUGAUCCAGCCAUACCGCGUGGGUGAAGAAGGCCUUCGGGUUGUAAAGGCCUUUUGUUGGGAAAGAAAAGCAGCAGGGUAAUACCCCGCUGUUCUGACGGUACCCAAAGAAUAAGCACCGGCUAACUUCGUG
rnacentral:rRNA from 1 species